UUCCUGCCUUUGGCGCAGUUUCUGCAGAAAGCACAGAAAAACCCCGUAGUCCGAGAGUUUGGGAGUUCUUCCAGGACAGAAGAGACAUGGUUUUAAAUCUCUUCAGGCUGGAUGGAAAUAAACAGCUUCAGGAUCAGAGCUGAAGUGAUGGCAAGCUGGAAACAAGCUGUAAUGAGCUGAAAAGAGGGAGCAUUAAGGUAAAAGUGACAAGAAAAUAUGCCUACAUUAGACUAAUAAUAUACAUACUAAGAUGCAUUUAAUUCAUUUUUCUAUUUAUUUGAAUACUGUAGACUCACA
rnacentral:lncRNA from 1 species